GCGGAGGAAAAGAAACCAACAGGGAUUGCCCUAGUAACGGCGAGUGAAGCGGCAACAGCUCAAAUUUGAAAUCUGGCGUCUUCGGCGUCCGAGUUGUAAUUUGCAGAGGGCGCUUUGGCAUUGGCAGCGGUCCAAGUUCCUUGGAACAGGACGUCACAGAGGGUGAGAAUCCCGUACGUGGUCGCUAGCCUUUACCGUGUAAAGCCCCUUCGACGAGUCGAGUUGUUUGGGAAUGCAGCUCUAAAUGGGAGGUAAAUUUCUUCUAAAGCUAAAUACUGGCCAGAGACCGAUAGCGCACAAGUAGAGUGAUCGAAAGAUGAAAAGCACUUUGGAAAGAGAGUUAAAAAGCACGUGAAAUUGUUGAAAGGGAAGCGCUUGCAGCCAGACUUGCCUGUAGUUGCUCAUCCGGGUUUCUACCCGGUGCACUCUUCUACGGGCAGGCCAGCAUCAGUUUGGGCGGUUGGAUAAAGGUCUCUGUCAUGUACCUCUCUUCGGGGAGAACUUAUAGGGGAGACGACAUGCAACCAGCCUGGACUGAGGUCCGCGCAUCUGCUAGGAUGCUGGCGUAAUGGCUGUAAGCGGCCCGUCUUGAAACACGGACCAAGGAGUCUAACAUCUAUGCGAGUGUUUGGGUGUCAAGCCCGAGCGCGUAAUGAAAGUGAACGGAGGUGGGAACCCUUCGGGGUGCACCAUCGACCGAUCCUGAUGUCUUCGGAUGGAUUUGAGUAAGAGCAUAGCUGUUGGGACCCGAAAGAUGGUGAACUAUGCUUGAAUAGGGUGAAGCCAGAGGAAACUCUGGUGGAGGCUCGCAGCGGUUCUGACGUGCAAAUCGAUCGUCAAAUUUGGGCAUAGGGGCGAAAGACUAAUCGAACUAUCUAGUAGCUGGUUCUGCG
rnacentral:sRNA from 1 species